AUGACCUGGGCUACACACGUGCUACAAUGGGCGGUACAAAGGGUCGCGAACCGCGAGGGGGAGCCAAUCCCAAAAAGCCGCUCUCAGUUCGGAUUGCAGGCUGCAACUCGCCUGCAUGAAGCCGGAAUCGCUAGUAAUCGCGGAUCAGCAUGCCGCGGUGAAUACGUUCCCGGGCCUU
rnacentral:rRNA from 1 species